GCUGCUUCAUCUUCCGUGUUAGUUGCAGUAUUCCAGUUGGCAGUGACCUGGCGGUUACAAAACGGACGAACUUCUUCAUCGUACUGCUGCAGCACUGCGGUCAUCUCUUCAUCGCUUAGCCCGCUUUUUUGCACUACCACCUGAGGAACUCCAAAAGCCAGCGGUAGCAGACAGAUCAGUAUCGGAAGACACUAACAUUAUGCACAACAUAACUAUUGAAUAACCAAGCUGAUAAACCGAAACUUAAAACCACUCGGCGUGUGAAAGCAACUAAAGCUUCAGCUUCCAUCUUGGUCCGGAUUUACAAACAAAAAGGUACAAAAACGUACAAAAUACCGGAUUCACUUCGCCUGACGCAAGCUACAAGAAUGUUACAUAGAAAAAACUGUCCCUCCGUCAAGCGGCCACGAAAUAUGGAAUCAACUUACUCAGCGACCAUCAGAGCCCUAAUCAGCAGACAACUAAGCUAUUAUCUAAAAACUUGACAAAAGUCUGGUUCAUUUGCUGCAUGAAUUGACAAAGACAUCCACAACCCGAAAGAAGCGGGCCAAGAUUCCGGUUCUACCAGUACAAAUGAUGCCGUGUCUAGACGAAGUACAAGAAUAUCCUGAAUUGAUAGAAAUACCUAACCCUGAACUCUGAAUCCUCCCGUUCCUAACGCUGUUAGAAGAUAUCCGAACAUUAAGA